rnacentral:lncRNA from 13 species
UUGAAACAAUUUACAACACAUCGUCAACUAGCAACCUACUCUGUUUCAGUGCUGUUUAAAUAUCCCACUUAUUUUAUUCUGCUGUUAGACGCCAUCAGUAGAGACAGUCAGGAAAAUAGUCUUUGUAGCAAGGUUUUUUCUGUCAAACCUGGGAAGUGUGUCUAUAUAGCACCAUACGUUCUUCAGAAGCUGGACAGCAUAUGAAUAGAAUCCAUCUUCUCUCCCCCUCUCCCCU